rnacentral:tRNA from 1 species
GCAUUGGUGGUUCAGUGGUAGAAUCCUCACCUUUGUGCAGAAGAUCCGGGUUCGAUUCCUAGCCAGUGCA